rnacentral:snRNA from 1 species
GGAUGUGAGGGCGAUCUGGCUGCGACAUCUGUCACCCCAUUGAUCGCCAGGGUUGAUUCGGCUGAUCUGGCUGGCUAGGCGGGUGUCCCCCUCCUCCCUCACCGAUCCAUGUGCAUCCCUCCCGAAGAAGCUGCGCGCUCCGCUCGGUCGAAGAGGACGACCUCCCCAUCCCCCGCCCCCCCAGGAGAGGACCGGUCUUCGGUCAAGGGAAUACGAGUAGCUGCGCUCCCCUGCUAGAACCUCCAAAAAGCUCUCAAAAAUAGAGAUUGUAUGAUUAUUCAAAAAUAAGAACUAUUUAAAAUUAGUAGUGUCUACUAAUUUU